GGAACUCCCCAGCCUGGUUGGCUGCUCCUCGAGAGCUGACCCCCACGAGGGACGUGGGCAGAAGGCUGGGGUGAGCGUGGCCGGGGCGCAGCCUCUGCCGGGGCUCGCUCCCACGGACCAGCGCGAGUGUGUGGGGGAGGAGGAGCCGCUGACCCAGGCCUCUGGGUGUGACUUGGGAGGACAGCCCAGGGGAAGGGGAACUGCCUCGGUCCCAGGGUGGGGCUAGGGCCCUAGCAGAGCCGGGCAACGUGGGGACAAAGAGCUGAGAAGGAUGUUGGCACUGCGGGGGCAUCACUUGGCAGCGGUGCCGGGAAUGAAUCCGAUAAUCCUACAAGUGGCUUUUUAGGCUUGAAACAUUUCCUGCAGUGUUGGAGAGCCGGGUUUGGCUAUACUCCCCUGGUGGCCUUUGGUAGGAAGUCACCACAUACUGGCCGAGAGGGAUGGAGACACCCUCAGGAAACCGGUCAGCUUUUUUCUUUCUUGGGCAUUUUUCCAAAAUACUUUUACCUUCCUCUUCCCCCGCGGAGGAUGAAGGUGGUGAGCUAAGUGCCUUGGUUAUAGAAGAAAAGCUUCUGUGACCAGCCCUGAGUAAGCUGAUGCCCGGCUGACUGUGUCGAAGAGAUCUUAGCGUCCAGAGACUGUUCUCCACAAUGAGGGGGUUAUAGUUUUCAAAGCAAUCAGUGGAGGAAAGAUUUUUUUUUUUUUAUUUCAGGAAGUAAUUCAGAAAUAAGCCAGUGGAAACAGUCCCUUCCCUGAAAGUGAAUGGAACUUCAUUUUUCCCUGGACUCGAACAUUAUCAGUCUUGUCCUCCAGGGCCUCUCCUUGUUCAGUAAGUUGAGGGCUGUGGCCUGAGUCUUCCUAGAUGUUGGAAACAGAUCCCACUGAAGUGAUUCUCUUGAGACUUUAAAUGAUCUACAUUGGAUCUUCCUUGCUAAAAGUUGAGACUUGACAUUCACCCAGGCCACUGGAGUUGUUAAGGGGAUUUGUGCACUUGAUACUUGAGAUUUGUGGUAUACAGAGUAAUUCUGAGGUUACUGUUCUCUGUGUAACAAUACGGAGAGUCUUAGUGCUGCCUCGCUGUUCCAGGUGGAAGCAGUUUCAUCCUGAUCACGUGAGACUAGAUUCAGGCCAUUCUCACCUGAAUUAGGAGACUCCUGAACCAGCUUUUGCAGACUUGCUCUUUUUUUUUUUUUCCCAUUUAUUUUUAUUAGUUGGAGGCUAAUUACUUUACAAUAUUGUAGCAGACUUGAUCUUUUAGGAGAGUCCUAAUUUAGGUUUAUUCUCUCUGACCAGAAAUGAAUUGGGAUAGUCUCUUGUUAACACAUACCAAUUAAAAAGAAAAGCGUAGGGAUCAUAAAGCUUACAAAUUAUUCUAGGUCUUUCUCAGUCUGCUUGGUUUAAUAGCAUUAUAACAUGAGGUGGGAAUAUUUCUGUGUUUACUGUAAACCAAAUAUGUUCUACUUUUUACCACCUUCAUGAUGUCUGGGGUUUUGCAUUACUGUGCAGUGACAUGAUGGCAAACAGUCACUGAAACUCAAGUUCUCAACCUUUUGUGUGUUUUGUUGGUUGCAGAAUUUGGAAAUAGCAGCAGGGGCUUCGCUGGUGGCUCAGAUGAUGUGGUGGAGAGGGAAAAAUUGAAGCAAGAUGGAAAACAAUUCUCAGCUUUGAGAGGCUCACAGCAUGUCUGAAGGACUGUUUGUGGUUGGAAAGAGAUGAACUAGGGAAAAGGAGCCGGAGCACAUAGCUGUGGUGAGGUUUGGGCUUAUCUGGAACUUAAGUAUGUAUGUUUUAUUCCCUCUCCUUUCCUGAAGCUUGAUUGCCCCAUAUAUAUAUAAAACAUGUAACUGCUGCAGCAGUACACAAAAACAGGUAUUCCUCUAUGGGAUAAUUAUAACGUCAUUAGAAUAGGAAAAGAGGGAGUUCUCUGGUGGUUCAGUGGUUAAGACUCCAGGCUUUCGCUGCUGGGAUCUUGGUUCACUUCCUCGUCAGAGAACUGAGAUCUUGCAAGCUUCCCAAUGUGGCAAAACGAAAGAAGGAAAGAAAGAGUCAUUCAGGAAUGGAAAGAGCUAUUCUUUUUUCGUAAUUUUGUUCUAUCUUAGAACCUAGUUUGUUGCCACUGAUUUUUGUAAGAGUACAUCCCCAAUUGGAAGUGAAUGCCAGGGGAGAAAAAGAAUGUCUUCCUGAAACAUGCUUCUUGCUCACCAGCCACACUGUGUUUGCCUUUGUAUGCCCACCUAUGCUGUGAGUUUCUCAAACCUGGAGACAGAUUUUCAUGUAACUUUUCCUCACUUGAGAGUUAUGUUCAUUAAGAAUAAUACCUAAAAAAAAAAAAAAAAAAAGAAUAAUACCUAACACUAAAGGGUGACUAGUGAAAGCCAUAUUGGCAGUUGUACCUUGGCGUAUCAUUGGGUAAAUUCUAGGAAAGGAACUUUUCUUCCCAGGUGUCACCAGGACCAUUUUCUAAGCCAGGUUCUCUGCAGGUGUGAAGGUUCUCCGUACCACUCUGCCUUUUAGGCUUUCUUGACCAGGCAGUACAAAGUAGGUCUUCUUGGAGCUCACACUGACUCUGUCUUUCACACAGUUCCACAGGCCUGAAGGAUCACUGUAGCCUAGAGGUGAUAGAUGAGGUAGCCAUGUGUCUUCCUUAUUUACCAGGCUGAAAUAGGAAUAACUACCCAUCAGCUUUAGAGAAGAGAAACUCCAGAAUAUAGCACCACUGUGCUCUGGUGUGGUCAUAACCAAAAUCAUCUCUCCAGUCACCAGUUCUGCACUUGGAACUAUUGGGGGUGCAUUCUGCUGGUGUCUGAGGAGUAUUUGCCUUAGAUGGACAAUCCUGGGUAUAAGCAUGUAUUUCAACAUCUUGAGUCAGAGAGACAGCCAACAUUACUGACUGUGGGCUAUUAACUUGUUUUAGUUUAUAGCCAUGAAUUCCACAGAUGGACUUUGCAAUGUAAGAAAUGUGCAUCUGUCCACUAAAUGUGUCUCGGCCUUUCUUUCAUCUGGGUGGAAAGAGAAGUCACUCAUCAAUAUACAUUCUGUAUUGGGGAUUUUUGGUUACCCUCCAAAGUUUAUCACUUCCCCUCUCCCCAGUAGAGAAUUUUAAAUGUAGUUUUUCUGGUCUGUCUGGACAGAGUGUUUUCUAACUUGGAACAAAAUAAUUUGGUCUCAUUUUUUUAGAGUGGCGAAGCAAUUUAGACAGCUGGGCUACCGCAGUGUUCCUGUUUCAUAGCAUUAACAGCAAAGGGUUUUUAGAUGGAUUGUCUAGGUUUUUGUUUUGAUUGACUGGUUUUAAUAGGAGUGGUGAGGGUAGUUCAGGCCCUCUCUUUAACAAAGAACUCGAAAAACUAAUUUUCACAAAAGAAGUACAAAUAUUCAAUAAACGUGAAAAACAUCAAUCAGUCAAAGAUGAUAUUUAAGAAGAGACAUCCUUGCUGUUUUGGCAAGGAUAUGGGGGAGAUGGAAACUCAUAAUCCACUGGUUCGAGUGUAAAAUCAUAAAACUUUUUGGAUGACAGGCAACAUAAACCUUAGUGUUCCAAACGUUUGACCCAGCAGUUGCAUUUUAAGGAGUUUAUCCUAAGGAGGUAAUAAAAAAGUGUUCAUUAAUAAAAGCACUCGUAAGAGCAUUGUUUGCAGUAGUGAAAAAUUGAGAAUAAAAUAUCCCACCUCUUGUUGGGAUAGCUGCUGGCACCAAUGAAAACGGAGAGCUUGCUGCAUUUCCUGAGGUUGAAAAGAAGAGGACUAACACAACCUUGAACCCUUGUACUCUGUAAAUGGAGUAGCCACAGAAUGUUUUGGGAGAAUGACCAAGAAGUCUCCAUGGUGCUCUGUCUUUGGUCCAAUAUGUGAGCUUGUCCUGACAGGCAUGGUUGCUCUAUCACAGCCUCUGUCUUCUCUGCUGCAGGUGGUGAUAGCUCACUUUCUUCCCAGGGAACAUUUGAGCUACAAACUAUGAUUUUAGUUUACUGUUAGGAGAAGGGGUUAUUUAGAUUAUUUUUUUUUCCCUUCUCUUUCUGGGUAAAUAUUGACUAAAUAUGUGCAGGGAGAUGCUUAAAAUCUGCAUUUCGUCUCCAGUAUAUCUUUCAAUAAUACCCUGCUCUGUU